rnacentral:rRNA from 1 species
AACGAACGCUGGCGGCAUGCCUAACACAUGCAAGUCGAACGAGGUCUUCGGGUCUAGUGGCGCACGGGUACGUAACGCGUGGGAAUCCGCCCUUUGGUUCGGAAUAACAGUUGGAAACGACUGCUAAUACCGGAUGAUGACGAAAGUCCAAAGAUUUAUCGCCAGAGGAUGAGCCCGCGUAGGAUUAGCUAGUUGGUGUGGUAAAGGCGCACCAAGGCGACGAUCCUUAGCUGGUCUGAGAGGAUGAUCAGCCACACUGGGACUGAGACACGGCCCAGACUCCUACGGGAGGCAGCAGUGGGGAAUAUUGGACAAUGGGCGAAAGCCUGAUCCAGCAAUGCCGCGUGAGUGAUGAAGGCCUUAGGGUUGUAAAGCUCUUUUACCCGGGAUGAUAAUGACAGUACCGGGAGAAUAAGCUCCGGCUAACUCCGUGCCAGCCGCCGCCGUAA